GAUAAACGCUAGCGGCAGGCCUAACACAUGCAAGUCGAGGGGCAGCAUAGAAAGUACUUCGGUACUUUUGAUGGCGACCGGCGGACGGGUGCGUAACGCGUAUGCAACCUACCCUUAACAGGGGGAUAAUCCGAAGAAAUUUGGUCUAAUACCCCAUAACAUCAUUGAGGGCAUCCUCAGUGGUUAAAAAUUCCGAUGGUUAGAGAUGGGCAUGCGUUGUAUUAGCUAGUUGGUGUAGUAAUGGUUCACCAAGGCUACGAUACAUAGGGGGACUGAGAGGUUUUCCCCCCACACUGGUACUGAGACACGGACCAGACUCCUACGGGAGGCAGCAGUGAGGAAUAUUGGUCAAUGGGCGCAAGCCUGAACCAGCCAUGCCGCGUGCAGGAAGACGGCUCUAUGAGUUGUAAACUGCUUUUAUACGAGGGUAAUGACACUUACGUGUAGGUGUUUGAAAGUAUCGUAUGAAUAAGGAUCGGCUAACUCCGUGCCAGCAGCCGCAGUAAGAC
rnacentral:rRNA from 1 species